UGUACUAGUGGAGACACGAACGGUCUCCUCAUCCCGCGAGUGGAUCGGCCUCCACCCUAGACCGAGGAGAGAAUGGCUCUGCCUGGACCGACCCCCGCGCCGGGCGGACCGGAUCUUCGGCCUAAAGCGUCCACCUGUCUGGAAGCGGCCACCACCAAGCUUUUAUUAAUAUAUCCGUUCCCGCCGGGUUGGCUAUACAGAUGCGAAUCAACUCCGGGGGUGGGGUGAGGAGCAAGGCCGCGGAGCGGUGAUUGCUUCCUGGACGAGUUGCGUAGGGCGGGACAAAGUCCUGCCCUGAGCUCUGAUUGGUCACCGCGAGACUGCCUACCUAAGCUCUUCCAGGGUACCGAGGUUUUCCGGAAUCACUAAGAGGCUACAAGCCGGGUCCUUCGGCUCCGCGAUCCCAUUGGCUGCUGUUUCGGCGCAAGCGCUUUGGCUCCUGGGUUGGCGUUCAGGGUUGCCGAGGCAGGGCUUUGGCUACUGGAGACCGUAGGUUCGAAUCCCGUCUGGGAACUUCAACUUGUGCACCUGUAAAAGAAGCUGGCAUUAUUGGCUUGUACUCAAGGGCUGGCACAGAGUGUGUCGGGGUGCGGACGCCCCAGCCACGCCCAUCAUCUGUGCGGAAGAUGCAGAGGUCAUAUCGGAUGCCUUUCUGUACCACGCGAUUCGGGCAGUCAUAGCCACAGCGGCAGCGGGAGUUGCACUCGUAGAUGGGCAGCCCGGCUCGAAGCCGCACCUGGCCCUGGUCAUUGUAGGCAAACUUGUGCAGUGACGCCCCCGGGCAGCAGCCUCCAGUGGGUGCCCACAGACAGUCCUGGCACUCGCAGCCCACAGCCACCUGGUUGAGGGUGAUGCCCUCACCAACACGGUACUCAUUGAUGUACACGAAGGCCCGCGGGGGGCCGUCCAGGUCCACCUCAUUCUCUACAGUGAUGCGUCCCAGAUGGCUGCGCUUGGCAUUGAGCUCCUGCUCCCAGCGACGGAGUGCCCGCCUCUGCUUGGCCUUCUGCACCAGGUAGUUGGCCAAGCUUGGGUCCAGGUGCCGGGGGGUCUUUGACCGGUGGUGCCGCCGGAGCAGCUCCCUCUCUAAGUCCUUGUGGAACUGCUUGAGGAUACGCACACACUUGAGAUUCUGCCGUGGCUCCCAGGUGCUCUCUGAGUCUGGAUAUCCGCGCCAUUUCACCAGGGUCAGAGGAGAAAAUUCCCUUUGGAAACAGAUGUGGGCAGUUGGGGACAAGAGGGCAGGACACUAACUUCCUUGUGACCUGUCCCCUCCCAGAGCAUGGUCACCCCAGACUCACGCGGAUCUUCUUGUAAUCGCACAG